rnacentral:snRNA from 1 species
AUCUAAAAGUAUAGUUUUCAACGACACAUCUAGUGACGUUCUCACCGAGGCGCGUCUAUUGCUAGUUGAAAACAAUUUCCAAACCCCCUCUUCGGCCUGGGUUUUACCUUGGCCGUUUAGAAUUUUUGAAAGGGCUUCCCUUUUGGGUAAAUCC